GAUGAACGCUGGCGGCGUGCCUAAUACAUGCAAGUCGAGCGAACGGACGAUAAUCUUGCUUCUCUGGUGUUAGCGGCGGACGGGUGAGUAACACGUGGAUAACCUACCUCUAAGACUUGGAUAACUUCGGGAGACCGGAGCUAAUACCGGAUAAUAUUUUGAACCGCAUGGUUCAAAAGUUAAAUACGUUCUUGCUGUCACUUAUAGAUGUAUCCGCGCUGCAUUAGCUAGUUGGUAAGGUAACGGCUUACCAAGGCAACGAUGCAUAGCCGACCUGAGAGGGUGAUCGGCCACACUGGAACUGAGACACGGUCCAGACUCACACGGGAGGCAGCAGUAGGGAAUCUUCAGGCAUGGGCGAAAGACUGACGGCGAAACGCCGAGUGAGUGACGACGGUCUUCGGAUCGUAAAACUCUGUUAUUAGGGAAGAACACAUGUCUAAGGAAAUGUGCACAUCUUGACGGUAACUAAUCAGAAAGCCACGGCUAAAUAAGUG
rnacentral:rRNA from 1 species